GGUCAUAUCACGUUGAAAAACCAGUUCUCGUACGAUCACAGAAGGUAAGCAACGUUAAGCCUAGUUAGUACCUAGAUGGGUAACCGCUUAGGAAUACCAGGUGCUGUA